rnacentral:rRNA from 1 species
AGCGACGCUUAUGCGUUGUUGGGUAGGGGAGCGUUCUGUAAGCCUGUGAAGGUGUGCUGUGAGGCAUGCUGGAGGUAUCAGAAGUGCGAAUGCUGACAUAAGUAACGAUAAAGCGGGUGAAAAGCCCGCUCGCCGGAAGACCAAGGGUUCCUGUCCAACGUUAAUCGGGGCAGGGUGAGUCGACCCCUAAGGCGAGGCCGAAAGGCGUAGUCGAUGGGAAACAGGUUAAUAUUCCUGUACUUGGUGUUACUGCGAAGGGGGGACGGAGAAGGCUAUGUUGGCCGGGCGACGGUUGUCCCGGUUUAAGCGUGUAGGCUGGUUUUCCAGGCAAAUCCGGAAAAUCAAGGCUGAGGCGUGAUGACGAGGCACUACGGUGCUGAAGCAACAAAUGCCCUGCUUCCAGGAAAAGCCUCUAAGCAUCAGGUAACAUCAAAUCGUACCCCAAACCGACACAGGUGGUCAGGUAGAGAAUACCAAGGCGCUUGAGAGAACUCGGGUGAAGGAACUAGGCAAAAUGGUGCCGUAACUUCGGGAGAAGGCACGCUGAUAUGUAGGUGAAGUCCCUCGCGGAUGGAGCUGAAAUCAGUCGAAGAUACCAGCUGGCUGCAACUGUUUAUUAAAAACACAGCACUGUGCAAACACGAAAGUGGACGUAUACGGUGUGACGCCUGCCCGGUGCCGGAAGGUUAAUUGAUGGGGUCAGCGCAAGCGAAGCUCUUGAUCGAAGCCCCGGUAAACGGCGGCCGUAACUAUAACGGUCCUAAGGUAGCGAAAUUCCUUGUCGGGUAAGUUCCGACCUGCACGAAUGGCGUAAUGAUGGCCAGGCUGUCUCCACCCGAGACUCAGUGAAAUUGAACUCGCUGUGAAGAUGCAGUGUACCCGCGGCAAGACGGAAAGACCCCGUGAACCUUUACUAUAGCUUGACACUGAACAUUGAGCCUUGAUGUGUAGGAUAGGUGGGAGGCUUGGAAGUGUGGACGCCAGUCUGCAUGGAGCCGACCUUGAAAUACCACCCUUUAAUGUUUGAUGUUCUAACGUUGACCCGUAAUCCGGGUUGCGGACAGUGUCUGGUGGGUAGUUUGACUGGGGCGGUCUCCUCCUAAAGAGUAACGGAGGAGCACGAAGGUUGGCUAAUCCUGGUCGGACAUCAGGAGGUUAGUGCAAUGGCAUAAGCCAGCUUGACUGCGAGCGUGACGGCGCGAGCAGGUGCGAAAGCAGGUCAUAGUGAUCCGGUGGUUCUGAAUGGAAGGGCCAUCGCUCAACGGAUAAAAGGUACUCCGGGGAUAACAGGCUGAUACCGCCCAAGAGUUCAUAUCGACGGCGGUGUUUGGCACCUCGAUGUCGGCUCAUCACAUCCUGGGGCUGAAGUAGGUCCCAAGGGUAUGGCUGUUCGCCAUUUAAAGUGGUACGCGAGCUGGGUUUAGAACGUCGUGAGACAGUUCGGUCCCUAUCUGCCGUGGGCGCUGGAGAACUGAGGGGGGCUGCUCCUAGUACGAGAGGACCGGAGUGGACGCAUCACUGGUGUUCGGGUUGUCAUGCCAAUGGCACUGCCCGGUAGCUAAAUGCGGAAGAGAUAAGUGCUGAAAGCAUCUAAGCACGAAACUUGCCCCGAGAUGAGUUCUCCCUGACUCCUUGAGAGUCCUGAAGGAACGUUGAAGACGACGACGUUGAUAGGCCGGGUGUGUAAGCGCAGCGAUGCGUUGAGCUAACCGGUACUAAUGAACCGUGAGGCUUAACCUU